UACGUAGGGUCCGAGCGUUGUCCGGAGUUACUGGGCGUAAAGCGCGCGCAGGUGGUUGAUCAAGUCUGGCGUGAAAGCCCCCGGCUUAACUGGGGAGGGUCGUCGGAGACUGGUUGACUUGAGGGCAGGAGGGGUUGGUGGAAUUCCCGGUGUAGUGGUGAAAUGCGUAGAGAUCGGGAGGAACACCCGUGGCGAAGGCGGCCAACUGGACUGACCCUGACACUGAGGCGCGAAGGCGUGGGGAGCGAACGGG
rnacentral:rRNA from 1 species